rnacentral:rRNA from 1 species
GACGAACGCUGGCGGCGUGCUUAACACAUGCAAGUCGAACGGAAAGGCCCUGCUUUUGUGGGGUGCUCGAGUGGCGAACGGGUGAGUAACACGUGAGUAACCUGCCCUUGACUUUGGGAUAACUUCAGGAAACUGGGGCUAAUACCGGAUAGGAGCUCCUGCUGCAUGGUGGGGGUUGGAAAGUUUCGGCGGUUGGGGAUGGACUCGCGGCUUAUCAGCUUGUUGGUGGGGUAGUGGCUUACCAAGGCUUUGACGGGUAGCCGGCCUGAGAGGGUGACCGGCCACAUUGGGACUGAGAUACGGCCCAGACUCCUACGGGAGGCAGCAGUGGGGAAUAUUGCACAAUGGGCGGAAGCCUGAUGAAGCAACGCGGCGUGCGGGAUGACGGCCUUCGGGUUGUAAACCGCUUUCGCCUGUGACGAAGCGUGAGUGACGGUAAUGGGUAAAGAAGCACCAGCUAACUACGUG